UUAAAAGUACAAAUCAUCAACUGCAUAUGUUAGCCUGCAAGAAUUGUUUUUGUUACAUGGGAGAUUUGACUUUCAACUAGAAAUAUAAUCAUUUUUGGUCACUGAUAGUACCACUAAUCAAAAUAAAAUUUUACAAAAGUUGCUCUUAAUAGUAUGAUAGGAAUAUAACGUUGAAAAUAAACAUCUACAAGUGCGUAUAUCAAAUUCAAUCUUUGUCACACAUUGAAAACAAGGAAACCCUAGAUUUCGGAUUGGUAAGCUCAUCAUCCAUCUUUCCGUGGUCUUGACUCUCCCUAGUUUGAUCCUCGUCGCCC
rnacentral:lncRNA from 1 species